rnacentral:lncRNA from 1 species
GAACAUAAUGAGCUCUAGCUUUCCCACAAUCAAAACGACCUCUCAAACUGAUCUCAUCCACUCUACAUCCAUACUUCGUCAUUACACGGUCAACUAAAUCACUAAAACUUGGAGGACCAUCAAAUAUUUCAAUUGACUCAUUCAUAUUCUCUAACUCCCCAUUUUGUUUCACAACACCACCAUGAAAAAAUCGAACUAAACGAUCCAUCUACAAAAUACAAACAUUUCACCAUGUCAUAUACACUACACAUUGCACAUAUUCGACAUAUCAACUACACACAUUACAUAUAUUGGACAAAUUGCAAACAAAAAAUACACAUAUACAUUGCACUAUACGAUUCAAUGAAUAUAUCCUUAAAUCAAUAAGUUCUACACGUCAAUAUCGCGGGCAGAGACUCAAUUGCGUAUGAACUACGUAUCAUCUAACACAAAACACCAUUGCAUUUCAUUGAAAUUUCAAAUCACUAACCUAACCCUAAGUCACCUAAACAUCCUCCGAUCUACCAAAUGCAACGGUAAAACACGAGAAUAAGUAGGGGAAUACCUUCCACACGAAGCAGGGAUCGAUUCCCACUACUUUCCCCCACCGAAAAUGCCGGAUUUUGGGUGGAUUUGGGGGUGGGGCGGCGGGGGGCGGCGCUGGAGCUUCGGGCUCGGGCGUUUCUGGAGGAGGAAGAAAGGAGGGAGGGAGG